GAUGAACGCUGGCGGCGUGCCUAAUACAUGCAAGUCGAGCGAACAGAUGAGGAGCUUGCUCCUCUGACGUUAGCGGCGGACGGGUGAGUAACACGUGGAUAACCUACCUAUAAGACUGGGAUAACUUCGGGAAACCGGAGCUAAUACCGGAUAAUAUAUUGAACCGCAUGGUUCAAUAGUGAAAGACGGUUUUGCUGUCACUUAUAGAUGGAUCCGCGCCACAUUAGCUAGUUGGUAAGGUAACGGCUUACCAAGGCAACGAUUCGUAGCCGACCUGAGAGGGUGAUCGGCCACACUGGAACUGAGACACGGUCCAGACUCCUACGGGAGGCAGCAGUAGGGAAUCUUCCGCAAUGGGCGAAAGCCUGACGGAGCAACGCCGCGUGAGUGAUGAAGGUCUUCGGAUCGUAAAACUCUGUUAUUAGGGAAGAACAAAUGUGUAAGUAACUAUGCACGUCUUGACGGUACCUAAUCAGAAAGCCACGGCUAACUACGUG
rnacentral:rRNA from 1 species